GAGCACGUAGGUGGGUUUGUAAGUCAGAUGUGAAAGCCUUCUGUUCAACGGAAGAAUUGCAUCUGAAACUGCAAAUCUUGAGUAUAGGAGGGGAGAAUGGAACUUCUGGUGGAGCGGUGAAAUGCGUAGAUAUCAGAAGGAACGCCGGCGGCGAAAGCGAUUCUCUGGCCUAUUACUGACACUCAGUGUGCGAAAGCUAGGGGAGCAAACGGGAUUAGAUACCCCGGUAGUCCUAGCCGUAAACGAUGGGCACUAAGUAGAGGGGUUUUAAUCACUAGUGAAUUC
rnacentral:rRNA from 1 species